GACGAACGCUGGCGGCGUGCUUAACACAUGCGAGUCGAACGAAGAGCGAUGGAAGCUUGCUUCUAUCAAUCUUAGUGGCGAACGGGUGAGUAACGCGUAAUCAACCUGCCCUUCAGAGGGGGACAACAGUUGGAAACGACUGCUAAUACCGCAUACGAUCUAAUCUCGGCAUCGAGGAUAGAUGAAAGGUGGCCUCUACAUGUAAGCUAUCACUGCAGGAGGGGAUUGCGUCUGAUUAGCUAGUUGGAGGGGUAACGGCCCACCAAGGCGAUGAUCAGUAGCCGGUCGGAGAGGAUGAACGGCCACAUUGAGACUGAGACACGGCCCAGACUCCUACGGGAGGCAGCAGGAGGGAAUCUUCCGCAAGGGACGAAAGUCUGACGGAGCAACGCCGCGUGAGUGAGGACGGCCGUCGGGUUGUAAAGCUCUGUUAAUCGGGACGAAAGGCCUUCUUGCGAAUAGUGAGAAGGAUUGACGGUACCGGAAUAGAAAGCCACGGCUAACUACGUG
rnacentral:rRNA from 1 species